GCGGGUAUCGUACAACGGUAGUACGCCACUCUUCCAAGGUGGAGACACGGGUUCAAUUCCCGUUACCCGCU
rnacentral:tRNA from 1 species